AAGAUGAAGGAAAAUUCCACUGCUGAUGGCAAGCAAGCAAUCAAUACAUGUCGACCAAUCUAUAUAUAAGCUAUUGAUCACAUGAUCUUUUAAAUACAAAAGCAAGCUCUCGUAUUAGUUUUGUGACAACUAACUUUAUUUUAAGAUGAUACAGCAAAACUAAAAUGAUAACCUCAAUAUUAUAAGGGCUAAGCGUUCAUUGCUUAAGGUUGAAAUUCACGGUAUCUAGUUAUCGGAGAGCAAAGGGUACCACACAAAUUAACUCCUCCACACACAAACUGCCUCUUAAAUGACAUUUUCCUCGCCGGUAGAUGACCAUCAUUAUUUCAGGAUAGAAAUAAACGAUGAUUAAUGAUUUAAGCUUGCUCGGAAAGUUUUCAAGCAAAUUUAUGUUACACAUGAUUAAUGAUUUAAGCUUCUCAGAUGGUGCUUCAGGCAGUAAAAAAACAACAGCAGAAAGGUCAACAAUAGUGCCAACUGCCAAGGAGCCAGUCGAAUAGAAAACGAGGGGAAAAUUCACGCUGGUGUA
rnacentral:lncRNA from 1 species